rnacentral:rRNA from 1 species
AACGAACGCUGGCGGCGCGCCUAAUACAUGCAAGUCGAACGCGAAAGGGGCUUCGGCCCUGAGUAGAGUGGCGGACGGGUGAGUAACGCGUGGGAACCUGCCUUGAAGUUCGGAAUAACCGCGGGAAACUGCGGCUAAUACCGGAUGUGGCCUGAGGGCCAAAGGGGAAACGUCGCUUCGAGAGGGGCCCGCGUCCGAUUAGCUAG